AUUUCUUUCUUUCUUCCAGCUUCCUGUGUAUCAUGCAAAGUCAAAAUCAAAGAUAUGGAUGAGAUGCCUUCCCAUGUUGAUCAGCAUUCAGAGAUGCAGGUUACUGAAAUUGAAGACAGAAUACCUGUAAUAGAAGAUUCCAUGUCUAGAAUAAUGCAACAGCAGAUGACAGAACUUUCACAUAAGAGAGACCACACAAGUUCAGAGGAUUUUCAUUAUAACCUUAGAGAAAAUAAACCAAAAAUUGU